UCUGUCCUCAUAACCACCUCAUAACCACGUAGGAAUGAAUGGAAUGAGUUAGAGUUAAAUUAUAUUCAUUCGUGCAUGAUCAUUUCAUGAGCUUUUUUAUUGUUACCUGCCGGACAUUUACGUUUGUACUGGACUGUACUGUACAUUGUGUUAUAAAUACAGAUAAUGCGCCAUAAAAAUGUUAUUCAAACCUAACCCCGUUGGUGGAGAAUUUGACAGCUAAAUAAGAACUACAAUUUGGUUGGAAGUAAACAUGCAUGAAUUCUGAAGCCAUUAAUGCGAAAAAAUGAAUUAUACUGUAUCUGCCUUAGCUAUUAGUGCAAGAGCUGUCGAUGUUGUAAUAAUGUAGUUCAUUCAACAAGAAAAAAGCAGAGAGGGUCUCUAAAGAAAAAAGUGUACUUGCUUCCUAUCUGAGAGUGUUCGUAUCAAACGGUGAAAAAAAACACCUUUAUUAGUUGUGAAGGAGUUAUGUCAGUUAUUUCCAACUGAUACUCGAUGUGGAACCAAAUAUUGUUCAUGCACAUUAUAUAAAACUACGUGAAAAAUUAUAGUGGAAUGAAACUUGUGUACAGCUGGAUGCAAUCAUAUGGAUAUAUUUGAAAAUGGUUAGGUAACUAGAUCGGAGCAAAAUAUGUUACAAUAAAAUUUUAUUAUCACAAUAUUUUUAUAAACAAAUCUCGAAAAAAUUCUGAUGCCUAUGAGAAGAACCUAGAGUAUUGGUACAUUUUACAAGGACCACCUUGAAGAAAACAAUUUUUAUCACAUCACGACGGCAUUGUGCAAACAUUUAAAGAUAUUACUAAAAUAAUACAAGCAGGUAAUGAUAAGAGUGAGAUUUUUUUUCCAUGUUUUCAUAAAUAUAUUGAAUUGAUUUUAAAUAUAUGUAGUAAAGUUCGCUGUCUUAGACAAAUUAUAAAAGUUGAUUUUGUACAAUUAUAAUGCCUAUGUAGGAUAAAAGUAAUAAUAAUAAAAAAGUUUAUUUUUUUAUUGAUUUAAUCAUAUAUCUAAUAGUACUAUAUUGCUAACAGGCCUCAAAAGAGUCCGAAAACAUAACGGCAGAGCAAUAUAUAGGACCUCUCUGUCUCUCUGUGGUACUAAACAGUACUGGGCAUACACUCGUACUUGCUUGAUUUGUACUCAAUAGCGUGAUUGGAGGCGUUUUGACAUUUCGUACUUUCACUUUUAUUUUGUGUACAUGCGCACAGACCCUCGGUACUCUUAUAGACAGAAAACAACAUCUUCUGUCUCUCUCUGUCCGUGAACACCGUUUCUAUGUUACUUCUGAAGAGUUAGCAAUAUAGUAGUAUUAGAUAUAUGGAUUUAAUCAAUAGAAUUAACCAAUUCAUUCAC